rnacentral:rRNA from 1 species
GACGAACGCUGGCGGCGUGCUUAACACAUGCAAGUCGAACGGAAAGGCCCUGCUUUUGUUGGGUGCUCGAGUGGCGAACGGGUGAGUAACACGUGAGUAACCUGCCCUUGACUUUGGGAUAACUUCAGGAAACUGGGGCUAAUACCCGAUAGGAUCUCCUGCUGCAUGGUGGGGGUUGGAAAGUUUCGGCGGUUGGGGCUGGACUCGCGGCUUAUCAGCUUGUUGGUGGGGUAGUGGCUUACCAAGGCUUUGACGGGUAGCCGGCCUGAGAGGGUGACCGGCGACAUUGGGACUGAGAUACGGACCAGAAUCCUACGGGAGGCAGCAGUGGGGAAUAUUGCACAAUGGGCGGAAGCCUGAUGCAGCAACGCCGCGUGCGGGAUGACGGCCUUCGGGUUGUAAACCGCUUUCGCCUGUGACGAAGCGUGAGUGACGGUAAUGGGUAAAGAAGCACCGGCUAACUACGUG